CACUCUUUACUGUUAGUUGCGUUUAAUACAUCGAUUGUGUAGGUUUAGGUGGGUGCACUUGUUAUAGCGUUGAUCUGGUGUCGCGACGAGUUCUCAUGUGUAUGGUAUGGUUAAUGUUAUAUGACUGAAGUUCUUCAAAUUUAACUGAAAUGGAUUCUUGAACGAAAAGAUUCCGUUAAGAUUGGAAAUUUCUAGAUGCGGACCGUGUGACAAUUAGAAUCAGAAUACUGGUAGUUGAACUGAUGGCCUUCGAAUGUAUACUGAUUCUAGUUAUGACUGUUGAAUUAAUAGUAAUCAUUCUAUCAGUUAUCCAAGGAAGUCUAGAAUACUCAGACUGGUCCGGUGAGAUGGCAGGACCAGCCACGGCCAUGUUCACAUUUGCAGAAACAACCAGCCAAACGCAAGAUGAUUUACGGAUUAUUUGACACGAAGGUGAAAGAAAAAGAUGGAUUUUAUUCACGUGGACUCAAGAAGAUGCAGAGAUUAAUGGAAAAUAUGUGCUAAAAUGACGUACAAUAUCGCAACGAUGAACAUCAAGUUACUGAAAUUUUUCAUCGUAUGAGGAGGUAUAGAUGUAGGUAAAUGCUUCGUAAAGGGAACUAAAUGUAUAUCCUGUUGGAUUUGAACCUACAGCAAAAAAAGGAAAUUUUUUUUUACUACCGAUACAUUAAGAAGAUCUAGAUGUAUGAUGUAAAAACAAUAAUAUCAAAGUACCGCUUGCAAAAAAGUUGAGAAUAAAGACCUGUAAUGAAGGGAAAAAAAGUGAAAAAAUAAUUAGUAAUAUAGGUACAAUUUGUGUGAUCUCAUUAGGUUAUUUUUUGUACUUCUAGGUGUAAAUGCGGUUUUUACCGGCUUUGUACUUAUGCUUAAUGUAUAGGAAAUAAACAUCUUAUAACUUUC